GCCCGAGUAGCUCAGCUGGUAGAGCAUCAGGCUUUCAGUCUGAGGGUCCAGGGCUCAGGUCCCUGCUCGGGCG